rnacentral:rRNA from 1 species
GACGAACGCUGGCGGCGUGCUUAACACAUGCAAGUCGAACGGAAAGGCCCUGCUUUUGUGGGGUGCCCGAGUGGCGAACGGGUGAGUAACACGUGAGUAACCUGCCCUUGACUUUGGGAUAAGUUCAGGAAACUGGGGCUAAUACCGGAUAGGAGCCCCUGCUGCAUGGUGGGGGGUGGAAAGUUUCGGCGGUUGGGGAUGGACUCGCGGCUAAUCAGCUUGUUGGUGGGGUAGUGGCUUACCAAGGCUUUGACGGGUAGCCGGCCUGAGAGGGUGACCGGCCACAUUGGGACUGAGAUACGGCCCAGACUCCUACGGUAGGCAGCAGUGGGGAAUAUUGCACAAUGGUCGGGAGCCUGAUGCAGCGACGCCGCGUGCGGGAUGACGGCCUUCGGGUUAUAAACCGCUUUCGCCUGUUACGAAGCGUGAGUGACGGUAAUGAAUAAAGAAGCACCGGCUAACUACGUG